AGUUUGAUCCUGGCUCAGAACGAACGCUGGCGGCAGGCUUAACACAUGCAAGUCGAGCGCCCCGCAAGGGGAGCGGCAGACGGGUGAGUAACGCGUGGGAACAUACCCUUUGGUUCGGAAUAACUCAGGGAAACUUGAGCUAAUACCGGAUACGUCCGUAAGGAGAAAGAUUUAUCGCCAAAGGAUUGGCCCGCGUCCGAUUAGCUAGUUGGUGAGGUAACGGCUCACCAAGGCUACGAUCGGUAGCUGGUCUGAGAGGAUGAUCAGCCACAUUGGGACUGAGACACGGCCCAAACUCCUACGGGAGGCAGCAGUGGGGAAUAUUGGACAAUGGGCGCAAGCCUGAUCCAGCCAUGCCGCGUGAGUGAUGAAGGCCUUAGGGUUGUAAAGCUCUUUUGUCCGGGAAGAUAAUGACUGUACCGGAAGAAUAAGCCCCGGCUAACUACGUG
rnacentral:rRNA from 1 species